CCCGCGCCGGCGACUCGCCGAAUGAGUUCUGACCUAUCAACUCGAGACGGCGGGGUAGAGGCCCGCCGCGGUAACGACGGGUAACGGGGAAUCAGGGUUCGAUUCCGGAGAGGGAGCCCGAGAAACGGCUACCACUUCCAAGGAAGGCAGCAGGCGCGCAACUUACCCUAAUCUCGAUUCGAGGAGGUAGUGACAAGAAAUACCGAUGCGGGACCCUACGGGUGCCGCGUUCGGAAUGAGUACGAUUCGAACCACCUAACGAGGAACGAUCGGAGGGCAAGUCUGGUGCCAGCAGCCGCGGUAAUUCCAGCUCCAAUAGCGUACGUUAAAGUUGCUGCAGUUAAAAAGCUCGUAGUUGAACGUUCGGGUUCCGCGGGACGGGGCCGCCCCGCGAGGGACGGCGCCGCCCCGGGGCUCGUGAUAUCUCAUCUCGCCGCCCGUCGCGAGGCGGACGGAGGGAUGGAUGAGGUUACCUGGAAAAAAAUCGGGGCGAUCUAGGCGGGCGAACCUCGCCAACGAACGAUCGGACAUGGG
rnacentral:rRNA from 1 species